UCCUUUUUAAUUAAAAGCACAACAGAACCAGGAAGAGAAACUCCUUCCUCCUGCAGCCUCCCCAUUCAGGACCUUGUGUUAACAAAGCUCAAUACUGGGACAGCUGGCAAAAGAGAAAUGUUUACAGACUCUUGCUCCAAUAUCACAAAGCAGGUCACAGAAAAGCAAAGUCAAGGCUGAGAAACGCAGAGUCACUCUAGAGAUGGUCUCCCUAGCUUCCUGUGAAGAAGUGGCCAUGCUGGCAUGGUACCCACCUGGCACGGGGCUCAGGGUGGUGUCCAGGAUCUGAGAGCGGUUGGCAUCCAACAGCGGCAACAAGCCAGGGUCCUCAGUCCUACAACCGAAAGGACUGUGGCCACCCUGAGUAAGCCUGGAAGUGAACUCUUCCCCAGUUGGCCUCCAGACGUUGACGCCACUUAGCCAACACUGUGAUCACAGCUUUUGGAGACCCUAAGCCGAGAACGUGGAAUGUGUGGAUGUGGAGUUCACAGUUACUUGGCUUCACCUAAAAUAUAACAAAUAUUAAAUAAACAUUAAAAAGUGAAAGUGUGAUCUUUAUCCCCAAGAAGUCUGUGAAAUGCUCUUGCAUGCUCUCUAACGCCAUCACCAAGUGCGGGCAGGAAAGUCGCCAGGGCCCGUUCAGUCUCGAGAACAACAGCAGAACUGGAAGUUCUGGAGCGCCUGGGUGGUUCAGUUGGUU